UGGGGAAUCUUGCACAAUGGGGGCAACCCUGAUGCAGCGACGCCGCGUGAGCGAUGAAGCCCUUCGGGGCGUAAAGCUCUUUCGACCGGAACGAUAAUGACGGUACCGGGAGAAGAAGCUGCGGCUAACUACGUGCCAGCAGCCGCGGUAACACGUAGGCAGCAAGCGUUGUUCGGAGUUACUGGGCGUAAAGAGUGCGUAGGCGGUUUUCUAAGUUCGGUGUGAAAUCUCCCGGCUUAACUGGGAGGGUGCGCCGAAGACUGGGAAGCUGGAGUGUGGGAAAGGCAGGCGGAAUUCCUGGUGUAGCGGUGAAAUGCGUAGAUAUCAGGAGGAACACCGGCGGUGUAGACGGCUUGCUAGACCAUAACUGACGCUGAGGCACGAAAGCGUGGGUAGCAAAC
rnacentral:rRNA from 1 species